rnacentral:rRNA from 1 species
UACGAGGGGGGCAAGCGUUGUUCGGAAUUAUUGGGCGUAAAGGGUGCGUAGGCGGUCUGACAAGUCUGAUGUGAAAUCUAUGGGCUCAACCCAUAGUCUGCAUCGGAAACUGUCGGGCUUGAGUAUGGGAGAGGUGAGUGGAAAUUUCCGGUGUAGCGGUGAAUGCGUAGAUAUCGGAAAGGAACACCUGUGGCGAAAGCGGCUCACUGGACCCAUUUACUGACGCUGAGGCACGAAAGC